rnacentral:lncRNA from 1 species
UCAAGCAACACUUGGCAGGGGUUAAGGGAGAAGUUUCUGCAUGCACUAGUGUCCCUAGUAAUGUAAAAAAACAGAUGGUGACAAUUCUUAAUGCUAACAAAGGUAAAAAAAUUGCCAAACAUAGGACAUAUCAAUAUUCGCAUUUUCAUCCAAAAACAUGAAAAUUCUUAAUGGAGUACCCUCAUUUUUUAUUGAAUUCCUAAAAAACAAUAUUUAUAAUGAAUUUUAAUAAUUUUUUCGGAUUUUUUUGAAACUUUAUUCUGACCGAUUCACCCGAUUCCGAUCCGGACCGCCGAUUCGCCGAUCCGGAUCGCCGAUUCGCCGAUCCGGAUCGGUUUUUGAAAAACCCGAUCCGGGUCACCGAUCCGGU